rnacentral:lncRNA from 1 species
UUCCACAUCAUAAAAUAUUACGUAGAUAAUCUGCCUAAGUAGCCUAACUCACCAAUUAGGUUUGCCUUGAUAAAUGCUAACAUUACAUCUUCACCUUCUGAAAAGAAUUUUCUGAGCUGAUUGUCUGGGUUAUAGUUAUUUUCACAGACUACAAUGGCUUUAGUCUGGAGGCUUUCUUCAGAUUGUAAAUAGGAAUAACUGAAAUCAGGGUAUUUUCAUAAUAAUCAGUUUGUUUUCAGUUUUAAAUAUCUGAAAUGGAGAGUUCCUUUUUUUAGGCUGCCCUAAAACAUAGGGGU